AGAACGAACGCUGGCGGCAGGCUUAACACAUGCAAGUCGAGCGCCCCGCAAGGGGGGCGGCAGACGGGUGAGUAACGCGUGGGAACAUACCCUCCGGUUCGGAAUAGCUCAGGGAAACUUGGAUUAAUACCGGAUACGGCCUAGCGGCGAAAGAUUCAUCGCCGGAGGAUUGGCCCGCGUUCGAUUAGCUAGUUGGUGAGGUAACGGCUCACCAAGGCGACGAUCGAUAGCUGGUCUGAGAGGAUGAUCAGCCACAUUGGGACUGAGACACGGCCCAAACUCCUACGGGAGGCAGCAGUGGGGAAUAUUGGACAAUGGGCGCAAGCCUGAUCCAGCCAUGCCGCGUGAGUGAUGACGGCCUUAGGGUUGUAAAGCUCUUUCGCUAGGGACGAUAAUGACGGUACCUAGACAAGAACGCCCGGCUAACUUCGCGCCAGCAGCCGC
rnacentral:rRNA from 1 species